GGAGGAUCCGAGCGUUAUCCGGAUUUAUUGGGCGUAAAGGGUGCGUAGGCGGCCUGUUAAGUUUAUGGUGAAAGCGUGGGGCUCAACCCCAUAAAGCCAUAGAUACUGGCAGGCUAGAGUACUGGAGAGGGUAGUGGAAUUCCAUGUGUAGCGGUAAAAUGCGUAGAUAUAUGGAGGAACACCGGUGGCGAAGGCGGCUACCUAGACAGAGACUGACGCUGAGGCACGAAAGCGUGGGGAGCAAAUAGGAUUAGAUACCCUAGUAGUCCACGCUGUAAACGAUGAAUGCUAGGUGUUGGGGGAAUAACUCAGUGCCGCAGUUAACGCAGUAAGUUCUCCGCCUGGGGAGU
rnacentral:rRNA from 1 species